CAGCCCUGCUCGUAGCUCCACCGCUCUGCUCCAGCCCCUGCCCAGAGCCUCAUAAAUAGACUGUGGCAUGGACGGGGGAAGGAGAUAGCGAGAGGGGGUGUCAGCAUCUG
ensembl:miRNA gga-mir-6658 gga-mir-6658